rnacentral:lncRNA from 1 species
ACACAUUCUCCGAAUAGCUCAUCAGAAUAGCAUCCAUCAGUAGGAGUUUUUCUCCUCAGCUCAUGGCAGCGGAUCAAAUAUUUAGAUGUGAUUUUUAGACAUAAAGGCACAUGAAGAUAUUUGUUUGAUGAAGGAGGAGUGAUUUAGAAAACUCAGCUCCAACGAUGGGGAAGAAUUUUCUGCCAGGAUGAGGCUUAUCCACCUGCAACACGUUUUGCCUGAAAACUUCAUAUCCCCAUCAUUUUUUCCCGAAGGAAAAGACCCCAUUGGCCAGACCUUUUGCUGGGGGCCGGGGCUGGACCCCACCGGCUCGAAGGAGUCAGUGCUUUGUUGCUUGUCUGAUCAGCCAGCCUGGUGGGUCUGCUAUACCUAUUCCUACACCUCUUGUAUAACCAAGGAGAUGGAUUAUGCUAACUGGCCAGCUCUGAGUCAGGUGUCAUCAACUCUGGACAUGGAGACAGGGCCAGCUCUACCUGCCUUGGUGGGCUGGCGUAGGGUAUGUGUGUGGGGUGGGGUCGAGUGCGAGAGGCUUCGAGGAAAAUUGGGGCUCUGUCACUGGAAGCAGAGAGGGUGACUACUGGACAGACUACACAGCAGUGUCUACAAUAAGGACUUGGACAGCCCUCACCUUCACUGCCCUGUGCUCACCCCUAGGAGAAGCAAUUACACAGAUGACAAGCCCUGAGACACACUUCACUCCACAGUGAAAAUGUGUCAAGGGCAAAUGACUUUUAAAAAAUGUGAUUUUCAGUGAAAUACACAUAACAUUAAAUUUAUCAUUUGACCCCCUUUUAAGGGUACAUUUCCAUGGCAUUAAGUAGUUUUACACUGUUGUACAACCAUCACCACCAUCCAUUGCCAGAACUUGUUCAUCUUCCCAUGCUGAAACUGUGUCCUCACUGAACAACAUCUCGCCACCGUCCUUCCCCCAGCCCUGGGCAAACACCGUUCUAUUUUCUUUUCUCUAUGAACCUGUCUAUUUCAUGUCCCUCAUAUAGGUGGAACCAUACAGUAUUGGUCUUUCUUGUGUCUGGCUUAUUUCACUUAACCUGAUGUCCUCAAGUUCUAUCCAUGUUGCAACAUGUGUCAAAUUGUCAUUCUUUUAAAAAAAUCUAGUAUUUAUUUAAUUAAAAAAUUUUCUUUGUGGC